GACACUGCAUGAUUUUCCCUAGAUUCAAAAGCAAACUGCAGACUUCAUCUUCUGGCCAAGAUGGAGUAACAGGCACGAGAUUACCCUCCCAUCUGAAACAACGACAGCGGCAAGAGAGACAAAACAUACGGGACAGUGUUUUCAAGACACUAAACAUCAGGCAGUGAAAGACAGCUGUCCCUGCAAGAUGGAAACAAAUGAGAGACUGCUCCCUCUUAGCCUCUGUGGCUGGUUGCUCUGCUGCCUUUACCCUCUCAGUGGUGGACUGGUUGAGGCUCACUUUUUGGAUAACUUCCAUGCUGCAUUUAUUCUCUUUUGUGAUCUCACCCAGCCCCACAGGAUUGAAAACAUUGGAAAGACAGUUUUUGACAAGCUACCAUUCUCAGGACACUGCACAUAUAGCCAACUGAAACAUACUCCUAUUCUUCCUGUGACCACUCCUUCAAGACUGGGAGAAACAGCUGUUUUGCCUAAUACAUAGAAACAAUACAGAGUCCAGCAAAAUGUGGAAACAUGCAAAAUAACAAGAUGAAACCCCAGGAUAAAAAACCCUUAAUGAAACAGGUUAAAAGCAAUUAUGUGAAAAGCCUUUUGUGUGGAAGAAGCCCUCUGUGUUGACUUUCAAAAAUCAGCACAUCUUUACUGUUACCAUUUUACUCUUUGAAGAAAAGGAGUGAAGGUCAUGGGAAAAAUCAGUGUCUGAUAAACCUGGUAAGUCAGGGGUAAUGGACUGAUCGCUGGUGAAGAAGGAGCUGGACACCUGACGUCAGGGACUCUGCCUCUGAAGGAAAUCUUCUGAUGUUAAAGUUGGGUGGAAGGCGAAAAGGAUGAAUAAGAAGGCCCUGGGCUAUUUGAAAGCAUCCAAAAGGAGGCUGCAGGGAGUCCCUGGGAGGGAGAGCCAGGUCUUCCCAAGCCAGGCUAGCCUUGUGGGUAUGGGCCAUGUAGUCCCACAGGGCCCCAAGCUCAAAAGAGCCCACAGUUUGGUUUCAUGCUUUCCUGUGGCCAUACAAAAAUGCCUGUAAAUUUUCUAACAAAAGUCCUGCCAUCUUCAUGCAUGGGGGCCCACACAUGAUGUAGUUGUCCUGUUCCCCCUACUUCCAUGGCUUACCUGGCCUUCCAUCUGAGGGGUUAGCACAUCCCUGUGUGUCUCUAAGCCCUCAUCCCCAAGGACCCUGCUGACACACCAUUAGAUUAGGAAAUGAAAAGCUGUUCAGCAGUGAACUUGCUGUAAAGAGGGCGGAAGAGUUGGGGAAUAUGCUUUUUGCAAAAUGUGAGUAUUGAACAUUGGUGUAUUGUUAAAAUAUAGGUAAUAAUUUAUAAGCUAACUGGACACUCAGUUCUUAAAAAAAUUAUAAAGCAAGAGAGAUGGAAUGUCAGAGGCAUAAUUCUUGCCCAUGAUUCUGGAUUUUGGAGUUUACGGCAAAGCUGACGAACCUGCUGAAUUUUUCUCUUUGCUUCCCCUCCACCAUGCCCAGAUGCUUUUCUGGCAACUAAUUAUUUUCUUCUUAGGAGUGGAUGAGGCAGUAUAAAAGCAGUGAUUGGGGGAGAAGAGGAACAACACUUAUUGAUUGUCUAUCACAUGCCAGGUGUUGUGCUAAGGGCUUUAAGUAGAGUUUCUCAUUUAUUCCUCACAAUGGCCCUGUGGGUGGGUAGUAUUAUCUUCAUUUUGCAGACAAAGAAAACUGGGCUUAGUGAACUAACUAACUUGACCAAUCACACAUAUAAUAAGUGGCAAAAAAGGAUAUAACCCUGGUCUGCCUGUCACCAAUUGCCUUGUUAUUUUUAGUGUAAUAUUGUCCACCAACUAGACACUGAGACAGAUGAGGAAAUUUUUCAUUAUUAUAUUCCAGGCACUGUUCUAAAGGCAUCCCAUGACUUGACUCAUUUAAUUCUCACAAUGAAAGUUGAAUUCAUUUCUGUAAGGACUUGUAGCAGAUAAGUGUUAGAACCAGGAUUCAAAGCUAAAGAGUCUGAUUGCAAAGACAAAACCAUCAGCCAUUAUAUGAUGCUGCCUCUUCUAAGAAAAACUAGGGCAUGGGGAGAACAAACUUGCUUGAUUAAAUAUGGAAAAAGCCAACGGUGAUUUCCAGGCUUCAUGUUUCAUGUUUGAGCACACGGAGGGAAGGUGAUGUCAUUUAAUAAACUGUGAAAUACGGAAGGAUGAGGUGCAGGUCUCAGGGACACAGCUGUGACAUCACUUUUGGACAUGUUGAGUGGGGUGCUUGCAAGACAUCCAUGAUGAUGCUGUACAGCAACUUCUUUAAAGGGUUGUUGUGAACAACUUAUUUAAAGGGUUGUUGUGAGGGCUGAAUGAGUUAAUAUAUGCAAAGUGCUUAGAAUGGUGCCUGGUGCAGAAUAAGUGCUCUGUAUGUGUUUGCUAUUAUUAUGGCCCAGUGAACAACUGGGCCUUCAUGGAGCAAAGAAGAUUAUUAUGACCCAGUAAGCAAGUGGGUCAAAUGGGCCUAAGAAGAGGGAUCUUGGCUACACUAAUAAAUCAAGAGUUCUGAACUGAUAGAUGACAAUGGAAACCACGAGAGAAAAGGAGAUCUCUUAAGGAGAAAGGAAAGAAUGAGAAGAGGAAGAGGGGAGAUACUUAGGAAGCAAGCAUCUUGAUAGAUGUAUAAAUUGUCUUUGAGGUAUUGGAUAAAGGCUGGUCAUGGCCAUUAGAAAGUUUCUGCAGUUGCAACAGAAGGGAAACUCAUUUUUGUAUUUGCAAUAAAGCACUGAGUCUUUGACCAAAAUAGACAAUUACUUAUAUGGUAACCAAUGCAAUCAGAAAUCACAUUAAUUAAAUGAAAUAAUAUGAAGGCAAACUCUUAGAGAAAGGGAACCACAGCUAACCGAAGUGUUGUGUUCAGCACCCAAACCUACUGGUCACCAGGGUCCGUGCUCAGCAUCACCGUACACUGGUAAUUCUCUAGCCUUUCGAUUAUCUUCCAACCAGAGUAUGGUGCCCAAGCCUCUAUGUGGUCAAGUGUCCUGAUCUUCAAGAGCCGCAUGGUCUAGUUCAAAGCACUGAACACACACUCACCGCGCCUCCCCCCACCACACUCACUCAGUGUCUUCUGACUGAUGCCUUUGCUAGUGAUCCUGGGGGAUUCCUCCUGACCUCCAGGGCUCAGUACGGACUUCCUUCAAAAGGUCUUCCAUGCUGUUGCUCGGGGUUUGUUGUGCCUCCGUGGCUCCUGACCCUUGCCUCUAUCAUAGCACCUACUUUCCUGUCUUCCUGAUUAGACUAUAAGCUGACAUCAGAGGUAGUUUCAUUCCUAGCCCCAGGAUCUAGCACAAAUGCCUCUCAUAAGUGCUCCAAGACUCAUUUGAAAAAUUGAUUCCUGGAAAACCCGUUUUUAAUUUCAGCAUUUAGUAUAAAGUCAGACUCACUUCUGUUCCUAAUGAGACUCAGGUAGCAUGUGGGGGUUCGGUGCUCUGGGCCUCUCUUGGCUCAGGAUGGAGUUAGGUUUUCUUAGUCAACUUUGUUGAGGUAUAAUUUGCAAACAUUAAAAUACACAUUGGUUUUAAGCAUACCGACCAAUGAGUUCUGAAAUUGUAUAUACGUGUAUAGCCACCACCAAAAUGAAGACAGUACAGAUCACUUCAUCCACCCAAAAGGUUUCCUUUCAUGCGCCACAGUUAAUCUUCUGCUUACUUCAUGUUGGAAGCUUUAGAUGCACAGAUGAGAUGGGAUGGGCCAUUCCCAGGUUUCAUGAAGUAAAUGAUGACAGCUAACCAGGAUGACUGCUCUCACAUAAGUGGUGGGAUGCCUGGUUUGGCAGCCAAGAAAAAGAAUAAAAAAAGCUGCCUCAGGCAGGAAGCAUAUUGGCACAGUCAGGAAGGCAGGAACUUGAACCUGGGGUCAUUUGUCUGGAACAGAGGCUUUGGGUCUGGAGACGACAAUGCAGGGGAUGCGCUGAGAGUUGGUGGGGGUAGGAAUGCAGGUGCCCACACACUGGGGAACACCGCAGGUGUCUCAGGUCCUUCCUGGCCUUCUGUGCCUGCCCAAGGAGGGGCGAGACUACUCAUGGGCUCUGGAACCUCGCCACCCCUGGUCACAUAAACAGGCAAUGGAGGGCUAGCUUCUGAGCCACAUGGCCACUCCGGCUAGUUCUCUGCCCUCUUCACCUCAGACAUCUCCCCUCACACCCCUGCCGUGUCAGACCCCCAGGGCAGCUAGGAUCUGCGUCCUGCCUGUGCUGGCUUGCCCUAUCUUUUAUUCAGGCCCAGUCGUCUCCAUGAAUGGAGAAAGAAACCUUCAGGACAAAAAAGUAGCAGAAGGAGGCUGUAUUGGCCUGUUACUUUGAAUUUUAACCAAAAUUUUCUGCAGAAAUGGCAAUAUAAUUUCAAAGCAUAAUCCAGAGGCUUUUUGGUUCAUGUCAGCAGACUUCAGCAGACAGGAUUUUUUUUUUCAAAACAAGUCACAUUAAAAGAGGGAGCAUACAUCAACCUGAAAUUUUUCAUGGAGAAAUGUUUUAUCUGUGUCUGUAAGGAACACCCUCCUUAGAAGACAAAAGUUAGCAGCUUAUGUCUUCUAAUAAUUUUGUGAACAGUAGACACAACCCCUUUUGAUAUCUUCCCAGUACAAGGGUAGGUUAGAACAUCAGCAGCAAUACAGAGAUCCGAACAUGCUAACCUUUAUGAAAAGGGUGCUGUCAUCAUUCUCCCAGAUCUUCCUCAGCAAAUCAAAUGCUGACUGCAAUGUAAGCCACAAGUAGAACUCCACAAAAGGCAUGCUCUUCACAGGGACUUCAGGACUGAGUAAGGCCAGUAUCCCCCAGAUGCACGUUCUGACUCUGAUGAGAACUGGCCAUGUGAAUCUGGGAGCAUCAUUUUCCUUAAUGAAUCUGAUUCUUCAUCCUCUCCUGUAAAAGUGUUACCUAAAUUUUUAAGACUCAUGUUGUGUUUCUUUUUUCCAAUGGGGAGUACUUGUUCUUCAGAAGAAACUACAAUUUUAUCAUCUGUAAAAUGGGGAUAAUUAUAGCUUCUGCCUCAUAGUGUUGUUAUGAGAGUUAAAUGAAUGAAUUCACACAAAACAAUUAGCACAGAGCUUGCAUGUAGUACCAGGACUCAAUAAAUGUUAGCUACGAUGAUGCUACUGCUAAUGAUGACGAUGAUUGCAAGAAAAUAAGGGAAUUCUCUAACGAUGAACAACAAAGAGGGGGCCUAAAAUGGCGUGGUGAGUGCUAGGCCUAGGGGACGGGAAAGUGCAGCUUCUGGUGUGGUGACUUCAGGGGCUGGGUCUUAACAGGAACGUGUGGACUCAGGCCCAGAACUGAAUAAUAUUUCCACAUAAGGUUGGAGUCCUUGAAAGCCUCCGAAUGUUGGGGUAGGGGUAAAACAAACAAUAUUAGCAUGGGGAUGGCAAGGAUCCUCAUCUGUCCUGCCCUGGGCUCUGGAUGGAAGAGUUAUGUCUGCCCAGGGAAUCUGUCAUAACAGGCCUGGGCUGCAAGUGGGUUUGGGGUUCAGAUGUAUGAUUCAUUCCUGGGGCCCCUGCAAACACAGAACUGCUCUUAGAGGAACAUGCUGUCACCUUAGGCCACCUAAGAGGUCCAAAAUCCAUGUUUCCCUGCUGAAGAUGUGCUCAUAAUGCAGAACUACCAAGCUUGCAAGGGAACAACCUACGUCCUCUUAGGUCCUGAUGAACUAAAAGCCAUCAUCCAAGUAAAGAGAGGUCAUGGUACAAUUCAGCUUAACAUAACUUAAAAGGCAGGAA